rnacentral:lncRNA from 1 species
UGCACAUUGUAAAAGUGAAAGUUUUUUGUUCCUAAUGUUCUUAUGCAAAUUGUUUCCUAGAAAUUUAAGAAGAUUACAACAAAAAUGAAUUUCUUCACCAAGCAAGUGUCGUUGGUAUUAUUCAAACAAGACACACAGUUGUAUAUUCGUCCAUAGAUUAAAUUCGAUAUGUCUAUCCGAAAGGUGAAAAGUAUCUGAAAAGAACUCGCCUUGCUUCAUUUUCCCCUUCUUUAGCAAUGAUAUUUUUGUUAUCGCAAGUCAAGAUUCACAUAAAAGGAUGGGACAUAAAACGAAGCAUUUGUGAUAAUGAUGAUCAUUCUGAAGCAUAGUUAUUGCAAUAUUGAAAACAACAAUUCAGGAAGACAUACAUUCUUGCUAAACAAAGAAACCAUAGGAAACACGGUUCCAAAAGCUGGUGAUUCUAGUAUGAGGCGGAGCCAGAAUUUGUAGCACAUGAGUCUAGAUGGAUUAUUUAUACAUAUGAAAUGGUUCUUCAUCACAAAUACAUGGUUUGAGCCAAAGCUACACGUCCCUUUGGUGGCUCCGCCCCUGCUUCUAGUCCACGUGCAAUUGUAUUUCAGAGUCCUCUGUUUGGUCAUGGACUCGAGCAAUCGCAGCAACAGUCUGAUACACUUGUUGCAUCGUUGGCCUUUGAUCAGGAAUGAAUUUCAUGCAGUUACUUGCAAGUUCAAGUAGUUGCAUUACCAUAUUAUCAAAUCCUUGGCCUAACAGUAGUUUAUCCACAUCAAGAGGACUGGCAAAAGAGCUGCUCGACAAAUUUAGACUCGAGCAACUCAAUAUGUAAGAUUUCAUCGAGCAAGAUACAUUGUGUGCUAAUGUUACUAUGCACGACAUGGAAAUUUCCACUAUCAUGAAGCCAAGCCAGGGCUUUCGCGACACUAACAACAAUUUUUACCCUUAGAGGGAAGUCCAAGAAUUGUGCCUUGUCGUCAGUUGAAUGCAGCCACUCAUGUAAGUUUCCAUUAGGCAUGUAUUUGUAAACCAGAAGUCGCUCGUCCCUCUCAUAACAAAAUCCGACUAGGGGCACUAAAUUCGGAUGCCUCAAGAUACCUAGAGUUGUGAUCUCCGAAACAAACUCUUCCUCCAAAUCUUCGGAACUUUGGAGCCUCUUUAUGGCAACAGUCCAUCCAUUUGGGACCAGUGCUUUGUACAAUUUCCCCAGCAUUCCGUUCCCGAUUUCAUUGUCUUGGCUGAAAUUCAAAGUCGCUUUUGAUAGUUCCAUAAAACUCAUUCUUGUAACAAUCUUCUCCAGCUUUAAAAUCUGAGGAAAAUAACAUAUCUACCAUUACCACAUUUUAUUUCUCCUCUACAAUAAAAAUUUUUGAUUAAGUAGUUCCCCUUUCGUCGCAAUUUAUCUAACAUAGUUUGACAGGGCACAAAUUUUCAGAAAAAAAAAGUAGUUUUUUAAACUUGUAGUUUAAACGUGCCAUAACACUUGUCUGGCUAUAAAAGCUUGUCACUAAGUGAAAUUGUUUCCAAAUUAGCAUAGUAUAUAAUCAUGCCCUUUAACUUGACUUGGCCUCAUCUGAAAUCUAUGCCCUCCGACUUUAAAUGUGCACAAAUAGAUACUUAAACUUGUAUAUAAUUGAACAGAUAGACAUAAUUACCUUUGGGUCACUGUUUACUUCAUUUCCAUCAAUCACCAUUACCUUUGUUCUCUUGUUGAUCAAGAGAAACAUCUUCUUUACACCAAAAAAAAAAUAUACACCAAGUAAUGUAGAAAGCGACCAACCCGUCACAAAACCACAAGCAAACAGAAUAUGACGGCUUACUACGCGUUCUGUAACACAUAAUUCCAGAGGACUACCACAAAGUCCUGGAUUAUUUGCAUAACUUUCAGCUGGAAAAGCAGCAUUGACAAAAUUUGGCACUGGCCCUGUCAACAUAUUAUCUGCAACAUUAAACAUCCUGAGUCGCUGUAACCAGCAAAUUUCAGGUGGGAUCAGUCCUUCUAGUUUAUUGUUUUCUAAUUUGAGGGAAUUGAGAAAAGAGAAAUUUGAAAUGUCACUUGGGAUAGCGCCUGAGAAUAGGUUGCUCGAGAGAUCAAUGUCUACAGCAAAUGCGAUUAGUUUUGAUAUAUCGGAAGGGAUGGUUCCAUAUAGCUCGUUGUUUGAAAGAUUCAGAGAAGUUAAAGAAGUGCAAUUUUGUAUGCCUCGCGGAAACUCACCUAUUAGUCCCAUGUCUGGAAGACUAAUGGAUACAACUAUGUUCUCAUCGGCAUUCCAGCAUUGUAUUCCUGUAAAUUUGCAUAUAAAACCUUCUGUCUGAUUAUCGAACUUCCAUGUAGAAUUCAAGAUGUUUAAAGGGUCUAUCAACGAAUCUUUAAUCGAUUUCAAGCAAUCGAUAUCACUCUGCACCGCGUUGCAUCUUAGAGAAAAGCUGCAAAAUAGUAGGAAAAAUGGUAGUACUAAGUAAAGAAUGUUGCAGUUACACAUUGUUGAAAUGAAAUUUUUUGUUUAUUUGCUUUGGCAAUUGUGGUGUAAUAUACUAAUUGAUUUUUUGCAAAAAUGGACACCAAUUGACUUGGGUCAAUAAGACGGUAGAAUAAUUCCACCACAUUUUUUUUGAACAUCUUUCACUCCGCAAGUUGGGCCAAGUCAAUAGGAUAUGUUGUACUUGUCUAUAUUAUCUCUUGGGUGCGGUCCUUUUCUGGAUCCAUGACGCCUUAUUCUAAGGGUAGGUCCGUCUCUACUUUUCAAACUUUUCUAUUCAUUUGAAGAUUCAAAGUUAUAAUUAUCGUAUAUUAAUAGAAAAUCGUUGAAGAAAAUUCAUAAACUUCAAAAAAAAAAAAAAAAAUCCUCCCUUGGCUAAUUUUUCCACCCACCCCAUAGAUACUUUAUUCUCAAAAGAAAAUCCCUACUAAGAGAAGACAAUCAUAAGAAUAAGAUUAGCUAUUACUAUAUGAUUAACUUUGUUUAGCAUUUUAAUUCAAGAAAAGAGAAUAAUGAAACAUAUUUAAUAUUUUGUACUCAAUUAAUUAAUCACCUGCAUCUAAGUCAAAGGACAAAGUAUUUUUUGUGAAAAAUAUUCAACUUUUAGUAGUGUACGUUGACUAUUAGUUUCAGUUACCUUUGAAUUUGAAUGAUAAUUAAGAUAUUGUCUCUAGAUCUAAAUAUUAAAUGAUUAAGACACUUUGUUUUUCAUAAUCUAAAUGUAAAUAAUAUAUAAUUCAAAUAAAAAUAAUAUUGGCCGUCACUUUUUUCCAGUCAUCAACAACUAUUUUGAUUAAGUCUCCAAAAGUAUUUACUACUUUUUGUGAAGUCAUCAACAACUAUUUUGACUAGACGAUAUACCAUAAAUUCAAUGUGGUCCAAUUUUGUUAGAAUUAUGCAAAUGAGUUGUACGCCCCGUAGAUCCAUUGGACUUAAGUGAGUAUCUACAAAAUUUCUUAUAUCUAGUGUGUUAUUUCUGUAUUUUUCAUCAAUCAUAAAUAAAGCUAAACUCUGUGUGUAGUAGUAUAUAAAAUGGCAGUUGCCCUGUCCAACAUGUUGUUAGCAACACUAAAUAUGUCGAGUCAAUCUAACAAGUAUAUUUCAGGUGGGAUUGGACCUUCUAGUUUAUUGUUAUUUAAUUUGAGGACAUUAAGAAAAGAUCAAUUUGCAAUGUCAUUUGGGAUCGCGCCUGAGAAUUCAUUUGCUAGAGAUAUCCAAAAAAUUAUAACAAAUCCAAUUAGUUUUGAUAUAGCGGAAGGGAUAGACGUUCCAUAUAGCUCGUUGUUUGGAAGAUCUAGAGAAGUUAAGGAAGAGCAGCCUUGAACGCCUCGUGGAACUCACUAUUAAUCCCAUACCAGGAAAUCUAAGUGUAGUUUUGGAACAUUGGAAAGUCUUUCCAUAUUUCUUAAACUUCGUGUUCAGUCAAAUUACAUCACAUAAAUUGGGACAGAUGGGAGUACUAAGUAAAGAAAGUUGAAGCUGCACAUUGUAAAAGUGAAAGUUUUUUGUUCUUUAUGUUCUUAUGCAAAUUGUUUCCUAGAAAUUUAAGAAGAUUACAACAAAAAUGAAUUUCUUCACCAAGCAAGUGUCGUUGGUAUUAUUCAAACAAGACGUGUAGUUGUAUAUUCGUCUGUAGAUUAAAUUCGAUAUGUCUAUCUGAAAGGUGAAAAGUAUCUGACAAGAGCUCGCCUUGCUUCAUUUUCCCCUUCUUUAGCAAUGAUAUUUUUGUUAUCGCAAGUCAAGAUUCACAUAAAAGGAUGGGACAUAAAACGAAGCAUUUGUGAUAAUGAUGAUGACAAAUGCUUNNNNNNNNNNNNNNNNNNNNNNNNNNNNNNNNNNNNNNNNNNNNNNNNNNNNNNNNNNNNNNNNNNNNNNNNNNNNNNNNNNNNNNNNNNNNNNNNNNNNNNNNNNNNUGGUUUGAGCCAAAGCUACACGUC